rnacentral:rRNA from 1 species
AAAUUGGACUAGCCCUUAAGCUUUACACGCGUUAGACGAACGGUCUGGAAAGUCCGGCGAUACAGGGUGAUAGUCCCGUAGUUGACGACGUGUGUUCAGUGAAAUCGAGUAGGGCGGGACACGUGAUAUCCUGUCUGAAUAUGGGGGGACCAUCCUCCAAGGCUAAAUACUACUGACUGACCGAUAGUGAACCAGUACCGUGAGGGAAAGGCGAAAAGAACCCCUGUGAGGGGAGUGAAAUAGAACCUGAAACC